UUCAGGAAGCGGAAAGCGUUUCAGAACUCUUGUUGCCCAUCAACAACAUUUGACUUCGCUAGCUCUGCGGAGUAGUGGCUCACUCCGAUAAACAACUAUCAUGGCCUGGCCACUACUGGCCUCCCAAGUCAGAGCUUAGUGACUUAUUUUUGUACUUAGGAUCUUGACCAUGCAGGGUCCCGCACUUGCAUGCCCCGGCCCCCCGUGUUUUUGCGGGUCUCUCGACCUCGACAUCUCGUCGAUGCCGCCGCCGCCGCCGCCCCCGAGCGCGCAUGUUGCUUGUCUCUCUUGUGAUUUGCGAAUGGAAAGAGGCGUGCAUGUACUGAUAUCACGACGGCCGGUCAGCCACAGGCCCACAGUGGCGAAUCGAAGAACUGAGGGCCUCGACUGAUGAUCCGGGCUGGGAACCGGCCGGUUCCGACGGCGAAACAACCGGCGCAAUGCGCGGCCGGUGGAGCGGUGGGCCGGCGGGGACAGCGACGGCGUAUUGGCAGCCGGCUUCGAUCCGGGCUGGCCGUGUGAACAACACUUCUAUUAAGGGCCCGUUCGUUUCCGUCGGAUUGCGGAUUGGAAUUUGGACCGGCACAAACCCUGGCCUCGUCUCCUCCGGAUCGAUUCCUGGCCAAAGCGACGGCGAGACGUUGGCGACGCAUGAGGACGGUGCGAGGUCACUGCGUGGCGGCGCGAGGUGACGGCGGGCCGGCGCCGCGCAGCCCCGACGGCAAGCCUCCCCGGCACCUUCUCACCGAUUACAAGGGGGAAGAGGCGAACUCAAGAGCCCCAAAGGCGAGUUUCCCGAAUUUUGACAGCAGCAGUGAGGAUAGUGAUGACAAGAGGGAAAACAUUGGCAACGGAGAAGAAUACUGAUGAAGGUUGGGACAGUGACUGAAUGACAGGGCUCAAGGAAGAGAAAUGUUGAUACGUGAUGCAUCAACGAAGGCCAGCACCAAUGGUUGUCAAUGCAGGUUCUUUCAUCGGUGGUCUUGCUCACGUACUUGUCCAAACGAAAUCUCGAGGAGGUAGAAGAGUACUCGUGGUUUCCAUGAGAACAACUGUCUGAAAGUUGUUGAAGCGGAUGAGUUCUCAUAAAAUGUCCUUAGAUUGUUUAGCCCAAAAAUGCACGAGGUGAUGUGUUUAUUUUCACUGAACCUAGUAGUAGCCAGGAGCGGUCUGUGCAAGUCUGUAUAUUCAGCAACUUCUUCUUGUAUAUGUUUAUGAUGAACCUAGGUGUGAUAUAUGAUUUGUCUAUGUGUGAUCUGUGAUUUGUAACUUUAUAUUGGUUAAAACAUAUAUCAGUUGUUUUUUAAA